rnacentral:rRNA from 1 species
AUGGGAGUGGACUGCACCAGAAGUGGUUAGCUUAACCUUCGGGAGAGCGAUCACCACGGUGUGGCUCAUGACUGGGGUGAAGUCGUAACAAGGUAGCCGUAGGGGAACCUGCGGCUGGAUCACCUCCUUA